rnacentral:rRNA from 1 species
UGUGCUAAGGUAGCAUAAUAAUUUGUCUUUUAAUUAAGGACUGGAAUAAACGAGUUGACGAAGAAAAAGCUGUCUUUAUCAGGUUGUUUAAAUUUACCUUCAAGGUUAAAAGGCCUUGAUCACCAAAGGGACGACAAGACCCUAAAAACUUUAUCCUUAUAUUGGUGAAUAAGAACUUCAAACUUAAACAGGAUUUUACUGGGGCGGUAAAUAAUAACAAAAUUAAAUUUAACACUUUGCGUGAACUAAGAGAACAUGUGUGCAGACAAGAGAAAUAGUUACUUUAGGGAUAACAGCGCAAUUUUUCCAGAGAGUCCAAAUCGGCGGAAAAGAUUACGACCUCGAUGUUGAAUUGAAAUUCCUCUUAUAGAGCAG